ACUGAGACACGGUCCAGACUCCUACGGGAGGCAGCAGUGGGGAAUAUUGCACAAUGGGCGCAAGCCUGAUGCAGCCAUGCCGCGUGUAUGAAGAAGGCCUUCGGGUUGUAAAGUACUUUCAGCAGUGAGGAAGGAGGUAUCGUUAAUAGCGGUAUCUUUUGACGUUAGCUGCAGAAGAAGCACCGGCUAACUCCGUGCCAGCAGCCGCGGUAAUACGGAGGGUGCGAGCGUUAAUCGGAAUUACUGGGCGUAAAGCGCAUGCAGGUGGUUUGUUAAGUCAGAUGUGAAAGCCCGGGGCUCAACCUCGGAAUUGCAUUUGAAACUGGCAGGCUAGAGUACUGUAGAGGGGGGUAGAAUUUCAGGUGUAGCGGUGAAAUGCGUAGAGAUCUGAAGGAAUACCGGUGGCGAAGGCGGCCCCCUGGACAGAUACUGACACUCAGAUGCGAAAGCGUGGGGAGCAAACAGGAUUAGAUACCCUGGUAGUCCACGCCGUAAACGAUGUCUACUUGGAGGUUGUGGCCUUGAGCCGUGGCUUUCGGAGCUAACGCGUUAAGUAGACCGCCUGGGGAGUACGGUCGCAAGAUUAAAACUCAAAUGAAUUGACGGGGGCCCGCACAAGCGGUGGAGCAUGUGGUUUAAUUCGAUGCAACGCGAAGAACCUUACCUACUCUUGACAUCCAGAGAACUUAGCAGAGAUGCUUUGGUGCCUUCGGGAACUCUGAGACAGGUGC
rnacentral:rRNA from 1 species